GGUUAACCGUAUAGGGGAGCCGAAGGGAAACCGAGUCUUAACUGGGCGUUAAGUUGCAGGGUAUAGACCCGAAACCCGGUGAUCUAGCCAUGGGCAGGUUGAAGGUUGGGUAACACUAACUGGAGGACCGAACCGACUAAUGUUGAAAAAUUAGCGGAUGACUUGUGGCUGGGGGUGAAAGGCCAAUCAAACCGGGAGAUAGCUGGUUCUCCCCGAAAGCUAUUUAGGUAGCGCCUCGUGAACUCAUCUUCGGGGGUAGAGCACUGUUUCGGCUAGGGGGUCAUCCCGACUUACCAACCCGAUGCAAACUGCGAAUACCGAAGAAUGUUAUCACGGGAGACACACGGCGGGUGCUAACGUCCGUCGUGAAGAGGGAAACAACCCAGACCGCCAGCUAAGGUCCCAAAGUCAUGGUUAAGUGGGAAACGAUGUGGGAAGGCACAGACAGCCAGGAUGUUGGCUUAGAAGCAGCCAUCAUUUAAAGAAAGCGUAAUAGCUCACUGGUCGAGUCGGCCUGCGCGGAAGAUGUAACGGGGCUAAACCAUGCACCGAAGCUGCGGCAGCGACACUAUGUGUUGUUGGGUAGGGGAGCGUUCUGUAAGCCGUUGAAGGUGUAUCGUGAGGUAUGCUGGAGGUAUCAGAAGUGCGAAUGCUGACAUAAGUAACGAUAAUGCGGGUGAAAAACCCGCACGCCGGAAGACCAAGGGUUCCUGUCCAACGUUAAUCGGGGCAGGGUGAGUCGACCCCUAAGGCGAGGCCGAAAGGCGUAGUCGAUGGGAAACAGGUUAAUAUUCCUGUACUUGGUGUUACUGCGAAGGGGGGACGGAGAAGGCUAUGUUAGCCGGGCGACGGUUGUCCCGGUUUAAGCAUGUAGGCGGAGGUUCCAGGUAAAUCCGGUACCUUUUUAACGCUGAGGUGUGAUGACGAGGCACUACGGUGCUGAAGUAACAAAUGCCCUGCUUCCAGGAAAAGCCUCUAAGCAUCAGGUAACACGAAAUCGUACCCCAAACCGACACAGGUGGUCAGGUAGAGAAUACCAAGGCGCUUGAGAGAACUCGGGUGAAGGAACUAGGCAAAAUGGUGCCGUAACUUCGGGAGAAGGCACGCUGAUAUGUAGGUGAAGUGAUUUACUCAUGGAGCUGAAAUCAGUCGAAGAUACCAGCUGGCUGCAACUGUUUAUUAAAAACACAGCACUGUGCAAACACGAAAGUGGACGUAUACGGUGUGACGCCUGCCCGGUGCCGGAAGGUUAAUUGAUGGGGUUAUCCGUAAGGAGAAGCUCUUGAUCGAAGCCCCGGUAAACGGCGGCCGUAACUAUAACGGUCCUAAGGUAGCGAAAUUCCUUGUCGGGUAAGUUCCGACCUGCACGAAUGGCGUAAUGAUGGCCAGGCUGUCUCCACCCGAGACUCAGUGAAAUUGAACUCGCUGUGAAGAUGCAGUGUACCCGCGGCAAGACGGAAAGACCCCGUGAACCUUUACUAUAGCUUGACACUGAACACUGGUCCUUGAUGUGUAGGAUAGGUGGGAGGCUUUGAAGUGUGGACGCCAGUCUGCAUGGAGCCAUCCUUGAAAUACCACCCUUUAAUGGCUGGUGUUCUAACGUGGACCCGUAAUCCGGGUUGCGGACAGUGUCUGGUGGGUAGUUUGACUGGGGCGGUCUCCUCCUAAAGAGUAACGGAGGAGCACGAAGGUUAGCUAAUCCUGGUCGGACAUCAGGAGGUUAGUGCAAAGGCAUAAGCUAGCUUGACUGCGAGAGUGACGGCUCGAGCAGGUGCGAAAGCAGGUCUUAGUGAUCCGGUGGUUCUGAAUGGAAGGGCCAUCGCUCAACGGAUAAAAGGUACUCCGGGGAUAACAGGCUGAUACCGCCCAAGAGUUCAUAUCGACGGCGGUGUUUGGCACCUCGAUGUCGGCUCAUCACAUCCUGGGGCUGAAGUAGGUCCCAAGGGUAUGGCUGUUCGCCAUUUAAAGUGGUACGCGAGCUGGGUUUAGAACGUCGUGAGACAGUUCGGUCCCUAUCUGCCGUGGGCGCUGGAGAAUUGAGGGGGGCUGCUCCUAGUACGAGAGGACCGGAGUGGACGCAUCACUGGUGUUCGGGUUGUCAUGCCAAUGGCAUUGCCCGGUAGCUAAAUGCGGAAGAGAUAAGUGCUGAAAGCAUCUAAGCACGAAACUUGCCCCGAGAUGAGUUCUCCCUGAGACU
rnacentral:rRNA from 1 species